UUCUGAAAGAGCGGAGGAGUGAGGACGAUGGUAUUGGGCAGACUCGAGAAUCUCGUCACCGGCAAUUUGGCAUUGCCAGAGGUGGAUGUCUUCCUCCUCGUCUUCUUUGUUACUGCUGAUUCAGGCUCCCCCAGGGGUUGUUUCCAUGACUAUCUUCAUCGACUCAAAUGCGGCCUAGUAGCGUUAAAUUGGAGCGAGAGUUAACAUGCUAGUUCAUUCGGCUUUGCUGCGAGGUUGAACAAAUCCAAAUCUCACAGCCAUAUUCAUAAGUAAUUCUCAAUUGGAAGAGCUUGGCCCUGCCAUCUCUGCAGCCUAUGUACUGCUAUUUCCGGCCGGCGAUUUUCCUUUGAAUCAGCCAGAAGCUCAGAAUCUUGUCAGUCAUCUCUACUGCUCUGCCAAACUACUAGCAUUGUUGUUUCCGUGAGCCAACCAUAGGCUUUCUGGUGAGCAAGUAUAGUAUGCUUAUUUUCAUUUUAUGACUCAGAAUUUUAAUCUCUCAGAGGCAGGAUGUGGGAGUCGAGGAUGAAGGUAACAUAGUGUGCUUAGUGGGGUUGUUCCGGAGGGGCCAUUAAAAUUUUCACCUUUUCCAAAAAUCUGAGAUUUAAUUGGAGGCAGUUAAUAUAAAAUUCUUAUCCCUUCCGGUAGAAAGCGUCUGUUUAGAGCUUGGGAUACGCAUAUUUCAUCGCUUUUGCAGCGUGGGGAGAGGGGGAUUUCUGAAAGUCACCUUUGUUCUUUAUGAAACAGAUUUGAAAACCUUGUAUGUACUAAAGUUUAUUUUAUACAAAAUCUUACUUCAAUUCAUAAGUCCAAUUCGUCCUCUCCUUUUUGAAAAAAUAGAAAUUCCAUCGACGAAUCCUUUGUAUCUUCAAACAAUUUUUGUUGUAUGUUGAAACGAUGUCUAUAGCACUGCAUCUUCUCCUUUAUAGCCAAUUAUCAUAUUCAUGUGUAUGCAUGUUUGGGAGUUGCCCUUGGAAACCAAACCAAUUAAUUAAACUAGGUUAUUUUGCCAGCAAAUUUGACAGAACAUCCUAGGAUCAUUUCAGGGACGUAGACAAACUCAUCUAUUAAAGCAGGGUGAACAAUUGGCUACGAAACUCGCAAUUUUUAAUGUUCAUCAGAAGAAUGCCUGUGUAUUGCUCUCCGGCUUUCAAACUUACUAGGCACCUUGUAGCAUUUAACUAGCUGCUAAUUCAAACUUUUCCAAUUUUUUCAGAUUCCCAAGCAGAAUGCAAAAACUAUCUGAAUAAUAAUUGAGCUACUUGUUGCCAAAUUAGAACUUCCCUAAUACGAAUUCAGUAGCCUCCAACCAGCCACCAAAACGGUUUAGCUUUUAACACAGGAUAUAUGCCAUUCUCCCUAGGCUUGCUUUCUCAUGCAAGUACCGUUCACAAAAGAUAGUUGUGAUGCUAUCUUUCUUUUUUCUUUUGUAUUUGGCAAGUAUGUUCAAUGUUGUUUAAGUUUUUCAUCAUUCAUAUUUACUAUAGUUGUCUGUGCAGGAUAACUUGGAUAUCUUUCAAGUUAGUUCUUGUAUUUGGCACAGUCUAACCUGAGGCCUUCUCUCUCUCUUUUUUCUAUUUUAUUUUUCAGCAAUAUGAUUGGCAGCUACCUGAAAGCUGACUCCUGUAUGCCCUUUUGUUAGGACUCUCUAUCUGCGCAUUGGCUAUGUUUAUCUCAGCAUGUCUACAUGACAGCCAUUGAUCAUUGAGUUUUCUCUAAUAUGAUGAAGUAUUGCUCAGAAGUCACCUACCUCGUGUUACUUAUUAAGGUUCCCAAGGAAAAAGUUCCCUGUAAUGAAUGGACAUGAAGACGGACGUUCUCAUCUUCCAUUGAGUUUCAACGUCUCUUCAAAAGGACUUCCACCAUGUGUUUCCCCCAAGUGCUCAAGUAAUGAAACAUCCAUUUCUCACUUAUGUAGUAAUUAUAAGUAUGAGAAAUGAUAGUUACAGUCGUAAGUAUGCAAGUGCCGUGCAAUCAUUUUAAAAAAAUGAAUAAAUACGAGAUUUACAUGAAAAGA